GGCUGCCGCCAUGUUUCCUGAACACAAAAUGGCGACACGUGGUUAGCAUUCGUCGCCAACGAGAAAUUGGGGUCGGCCCGAAAGCUCUAGAAUGCACCCCCCUUCUUCCCCGGGGCCUUCCACCUCCGCGAGUUUUAUGACUUAAAAAACCCCACAGGCUGGUCUGAAGAGGAAGACAAACAUAAAGAUGAAGUGCUUAAUUCAAGGUCACACAAUGUCGGGGAUGGACCUCCAGAUUUCCUUACUGACCUGCAUUAUCUUGUGGAUACCUGAGUGAAUUCCACACCACCCAUUUUAUAGAUGAAACCACUGAGACAUGGAGCAACUGACUGAGUAGUCACUGCCCCACCCCUGCCUGGAGCCUCACACAUGACUCGUCUCCUCUCAGUGACCACAGGUUGGUUGAGGGGUUUAACAAGGCUAAGAAGGUGAGACGUGGUCUUGUAACACAGUGGUUAAGAAUGUGACUUUGGAGCCAGCCUGCUAGGGGCUGAAUUCUGACUCAGCCAUUUACUAACUGUGUGACCUUAGGUCACAGAAUUUUCCACACUCCUUGACGGAGGUGCUUAACCCUUAUCCAUCAGCAUUCUCAGACAGCACCUCCGGUUAGGGACAGUAUCUGACCGUCCGACAUCCCUGCAGCCCCCAUGUGUCACACAGACUCAGCCUCAGGUAGAUGGUUUCCGUAGAUGGUGGCUUUCUUUGGACCCUUGACAUCAACCAGUUACUAUUUGCUCCUGCAACCACCGCUCUACUUUCUGUCUCUAUGAACUUGACUACUCUAGACACCUCAUGGGACCAGAUGUGCAGAGGUAAUGAAUACCAGGGAAUCAGGAAACCACUGGAUCAGUUCUUUGAGCCACAGAACAACACUCAUCCCAGCAGCUGGGAAGCUAUCUGCAAAAGUCCAUCUGCAGAAAGGGCUUCCUGGUCUUGCGUGUGGCUGGGCCAUUUCUCUGGAUGCAGGUUUUUCAUUAUACAGUCUUCUCAAAGAAACACCUGCUCUCAACACCUUCUCGGUGACUCCAUUUCCCCUCCUCU
rnacentral:antisense_RNA from 1 species